UGUGGAGCCAACUUGUGCUGCUAAGACAGACGAACCAGCUUGUCACAAAUCUGACUAGCCUCCGGUCUCAAGCUAGGCAUAAGCCUCCACAGAUGCUAUACCUGUAUACCUGAGCACUUUGGCCACUUUGCCUCUGGGUGUCGCCCCCUGCCUCUCCGAUGGUUGGGGACUGUGUGAAUCUCAUCUGCAGCGGUUUUUCACUUUUCCUGCCUAGGUUAUCCUUUUGGCUGUCAACUUGUGUCCAUCUGGCCUGAUUUUUCAGGCAGGUGAUGGUAUCAGGGUAAUAUACACCCUGUUAUUUGUUUACAUCCACUACGGACCAGCAGAAUCCAAACUCUGAUCUCAACCACCCCUGAAGAAGCCUAACCAGGCGAAAUAUAUAGGGUUUACCAACCGGGUUGUGAUCUCUGCUACAGUAUUUAUGUCUGUUAUGGAAACCUUUUAACUUUGUUAUACUUGUCCAGGUUGUUUUGAUUUAUGAAUUGGGCUCCGUUAGAGUCUAUGAUAUGUCCUACAACCUGACGCUAUAUAUUUUUAUUAAAUAAACCAUUAAAAUUUAUAGUAUUUGUUCUAUUUUUCUUUAUGGGUUUCUGCCUGCACCGUUACAGUCCCGCCAUUGUUCUACUUUCCCAUAUAUAAAUUUGGGAUGAGGUGCUCUUGUCAAUGAUACUAUUUUUCAGUCUAGA